rnacentral:rRNA from 1 species
CAGCAGCCGCGGUAAUACGUAGGUGGCAAGCGUUGUCCGGAAUUACUGGGCGUAAAGCGUGCGCAGGCGGUUGUGUAAGACAGGUGUGAAAUCCCCGGGCUUAACCUGGGAACUGCGCUUGUGACUGCACAGCUAGAGUAUGGCAGAGGGGGGUGGAAUUCCACGUGUAGCAGUGAAAUGCGUAGAGAUGUGGAGGAACACCGAUGGCGAAGGCAGCCCCCUGGGCCAAUACUGACGCUCAUGCACGAAAGCGUGGGGAGCAAACAGGAUUAGAUACCCCGGUAGUCCCUGUCUCUUAUAC